AAUUAGGAAAUAUUUAUUAUUUAGAUGGUAACAUUUAUUUUCAUUAAUUUAAUUCUGCUUAACACAACAUGAUCAUUUAAAGUUAAGUUGUGUCAAGUAAAUUUAUCAUAACCUUACAGAAAAUCAGAAACAGUGCUACAUUUCACUCAAAUGUUUUAAUAUUUUUAUUUAGCAUUUCAGAGCUUUAAAUGUUAUGAAAAUAUGGGAACUGAUGAGAGAAUACACUUUUCUUUUUAAGAGAUGCAUCUAUUCUUUUAAGUGAUCAGGGUCCCAUUUAGUCAAUUAUUUUUUCCAUAUGGCUCAGAAAUGUAUGUCUUUGUUGGUCAUGUAUUUGAUUGACCUUUUAUGAAAGGCAGACAGUUGACCAGGGGUUGCCUCAUUUUAGAAUCUCCUCAGAAAUGACUAAAUGUUUUCCAGAUGAACAUACUGUGGACCAAGUGGGGAGCUAGGAAUUAGAAAUCAUUGCCUCUAAGCCAGGGGAAUUUGUGGACUAUUUCUGUUGGGACUCAGUGACCUAAAGGAAUUGACCCACUGAGCAAUUUCCUUCACUCUCCACAGUGGUCUCACUCUGUCACCCAGGCUGGAGUGCAUUGGCACAAGCAUGGCUUGUUGAAGCCUUGAACUCCUGGGCUCAAGUGAUCCUUCUGCUUCAGCCAAGACUACAGGACUAUGGAGACCCACAUUAUCUGCCAUCUGUUUUAGAAAUGCAGCCCACAUCAUCCCGACAUCUAAAUGAUGAUGUUCUUAUCACUUUGUUCUCACAUCUGCCUGCUGAAAUAUAAGAAAAGCUUUAUUUUGCUGUAUCUCAGUAUCAUUUGUAAAUCUCCUUCCUCAAACUUCCCCCUUUCUGGAUAAAUUCCGACCUUUCAAAAAUGCCUAACUCUAUUCUUUUACUUUUUGUCUGAAGGAAAUAAUUUGGCAACUUCAUUGGUCACCAUUGAAUGCAAAUUGUAGCAUUUCAUAAAUUUGCAUUUCAAGGAACAUGACAGUGAUUAAUAAAAAGUUUGGAAAUCUUAGAGGGUUGUUCUUGAAACAAGAACAAUCCUUCCAUGCUUCCUUCCUCAAUCUAAGGUUUUGUGAUGCUCUCUGAUGAGCAAAAAAUCACCUUACCACGUCUGACAGAGUGACUCAGAAGGGAUUACUUUUUGUUAUUUUUAAUGCCAUAACUUAAUUCUUUUAUUUAAAUGCUAAUUGAUUAUCCUAGCACAAUCCUCUAGUGGCAGAAUCAAUUUCAGUAAUGAUGUUAAUGGCUGCAAUAUGAUCAACUGAAACCUCCACCACUUGGUACAAAAGGAGUGGAAAUGAUAGGCAGCUCAUUAAUCAUUUAUUCCAGAGAUGAAUGUGUUCAGUUGCUGAUAGGGUGCUGUAGGUGAAUGCUGCCAAAAUGAGAAAUGUCAAUUGUCAGGCCUCAUGCAUAAUAACUGUGGAGCUAUUUUUAAGCCUCUUUGAAGAUUAAAGUUAUGCCCUUUUUCCCUACAGUUCCGUCACAUAUGCUUGGCAAAUUUUGGUCUCUGAGAAUUCAUUUUCACUAUGCGCAGAUGUCUCUGCUUGAGAAAAAAUAUACAGCUCAAAAUCUAGCAUAUUUGAAAAGUUAUCUAGAAUCUGCAGAGGUCCACACACUGGAAGAGGACUCUAAAUGAAUACACAAGAAGUAAAAGAUGCAAACCUGGAGAUAUACUGAGUAACUAACUGUUUUGGCCAAUUUUUCCCAUGAGAUAUGUUUUAUCAGGAUGAUACACGUUUUUAAUUUCCCAGGUCCCCAUAGGGAACAUACAUUUUCUGUAUUCAUAUAACAUUUUCUGAAGACAGAAGUAACAAAAUUCAAUAAAAUAUAUUUUAAAACAAUGAAAUGUUUCUAAAAGAGUGGUUGUUCCCAGAUGACCUUG